GACUCUCUGGCGCAAUGGUAGCGCAUCACGCUUCUAUUCAAGCGUCGCCUACAUCUUUGAGAGUGGACGCACUCCGGGAUGGAAGGCCCGCUUGAACCGUGAAGGCUAUGAGUUCGACUCUCAUGGGAGUUA